CCUACGGGUGGCUGCAGUGGGGAAUCUUGCACAAUGGGGGAAACCCUGAUGCAGCGACGCCGCGUGAACGAUGAAGCCCUUCGGGGUGUAAAGUUCUUUCGGCAGGGACGAUAAUGACGGUACCUGCAGAAGCAGCUGCGGCUAACUACGUGCCAGCAGCCGCGGUAAUACGUAGGCAGCAAGCGUUGUUCGGAAUUACUGGGCGUAAAGAGUGCGUAGGCGGUUGGCUAAGUUUGGUGUGAAAUCUCCCGGCUCAACUGGGAGGGUGCGCCGAAAACUGGCUGGCUAGAGUGCGGGAGAGGAUAGUGGAAUUCCUGGUGUAGCGGUGAAAUGCGUAGAUAUCAGGAGGAACACCUGAGGUGUAGACGGCUAUCUGGACCGUAACUGACGCUGAGGCACGAAAGCGUGGGGAGCAAACAGGAUUAGAUACCCGAGUAGUC
rnacentral:rRNA from 1 species